AAGUUUCAUCAGCUAGUUCAUACUUGCGUGGAAAGAGUGGUCGUUUGCGCUGGGUCAUCACUGUGUAGUAUUGGGGAUACUUACGUGAGAAAAAAACUUAACGCUAGAGACGUUUACGCACUAGUGGAGAAGCCAGGAUUGUUGCCUUAGAGUUACAGUAGAUAAAAGUACCUGAGAGAACUGCGGGGACUCCCAACCUGGACGCCUGCGCCGGAGUAUUAAAUCCAGCUAGAGAAUGGCAUGUGCAAAGAUACAGAGCUACGGUCAAAUGGGCAACUGAAGAUGAUGAUGAAGAUGAUCUUGACACCGAGAAGCAGAAGACCAAUGAAGAUGACCAAACAGCAAAAAUGGAUAAGUUAAAAGAAGGUAAAAGAAGGCCACUCGUACUUGCUGUCUCAGUAUCUAAAGGUGGUCACCUUCCAGUAGAGAGGCCCACCCACUGCAAACAAUGCCACCGAAGGUGACAUGCACUUUCUACCACCCAUCCAAAACUGUAACGUGAAUCUGCAACAGGAGAGGAAAGAAGAACCAAAACUUCCAAGGCUUUGCAUUUUUUCUUAAAAGCAUUUUUUUUUUUUUGAGA
rnacentral:antisense_RNA from 1 species